UACGGAGGGUGCAAGCGUUAUCCGGAUUCACUGGGUUUAAAGGGUGCGUAGGUGGGUUGGUAAGUCAGUGGUGAAAGCCCCAAGCUUAACUUGGGAACUGCCAUUGAUACUGAUGGUCUUGAGUACAUUUGAGGUGGGCGGAAUGUGUCAUGUAGCGGUGAAAUGCUUAGAUAUGACACAGAACACCGAUUGCGAAGGCAGCUCACUAAACUGUAACUGACGCUGAGGCACGAAAAGCGUGGGGGAGCAAACAGGG
rnacentral:rRNA from 1 species